UGGGGAAUUUUGGACAAUGGGCGAAAGCCUGAUGCAGCCAUGCCGCGUGUGUGAAGAAGGCCUUCGGGUUGUAAAGCACUUUCAGCGAGGAGGAAGGUGGUGAGCUUAAUACGCUCAUCAAUUGACGUUACUCGCAGAAGAAGCACCGGCUAACUCCGUGCCAGCAGCCGCGGUAAUACGGAGGGUGCAAGCGUUAAUCGGAAUUACUGGGCGUAAAGCGCACGCAGGCGGUUUGUUAAGUCAGAUGUGAAAUCCCCGGGCUCAACCUGGGAACUGCAUUUGAAACUGGCAAGCUAGAGUCUCGUAGAGGGGGGUAGAAUUCCAGGUGUAGCGGUGAAAUGCGUAGAGAUCUGGAGGAAUACCGGUGGCGAAGGCGGCCCCCUGGACGAAGACUGACGCUCAGGUGCGAAAGCGUGGGGCAGCAAACAGGAUUAGAUACCCUGGUAGUCCACGCUGUAAACGAUGUCGAUUUUGGAGGUUGUGCCCCUUGAGGCGUGGCUUCCGGAGCUAACGCGUUAAAUCGACCGCCUGGGGAGUACGGCCGCAAGGUUAAAACUCAAAGGAAUUG
rnacentral:rRNA from 1 species